rfam:Triticum aestivum genome assembly, contig: Triticum_aestivum_CS42_TGACv1_scaffold_063761_1DL
AGGGUGGACAAGGAUGACAUCAUCUCCCACAUCUUAGCUGGGCUCGAAGAAGACUUCGACCCGGUGGUUUCUGCCAUGUGCUCCCAGGUUGAACCGGUGACCGUGGCCGAGCUGUACUCAUAGCUGCUCAGCUUCGAGA